CGCGUGGGGUGGGUGGGAGCGCGGUCUGACGCCUCACGGAGCCGGCGCACGCCACGCCGCGCCCCGCCCCCUCUCACGCAGGCUCCGCGCGGCCUCGCGCCCGCGGCGAGCGCGCGCGCGCACCCGGCAGAGACUCAACCUCGACUGCGGGGCCGGGCGGCGGAGGCCGGGCCGCUGGAGAGCCGUGGGAGGAGCCCGAGCCGCCACAGCCGCAGUCGCGGCCGUGGCGGUGGGGGAGCAUGUCCGCGAGUCGGGCCAAGAAAGUGAAGAUGGCCACCAAAUCGUGCCCGGAGUGCGACCAACAGGUUCCUGUUGCAUGUAAAUCAUGUCGUUGUGGUUAUUUAUUUAUUAAUAGAAAGUAUCUACAAAUAAAACAUUCAGAGAAAUCAUCACCUUUUGCAGAAGCGAACAAUACUGUAUCUUUGAAAGACUUGCGAAUUCUUUUUUUAUACGAAUUUAAACUAGGACAUAGUGCAGCCACAGCAAGUAGAAACAUCGUGUCUGUCUUCGGAGAAGGCUCUGUUAGUGAAAGGACUAUCCGGUGGUGGUUUGGGAAGUUUCGUUCUGGGGAUCUGAGUCUGAAAAAUGAGCCUCGAGGGAGACCCAAGUCUGUUUUAAAUGAAGAUCAGUUGAGAGCCAGAGUGGAAGCCAACCCCAAGACAGCAAUUCGAGGCCUUGCAGCAGACUUAGGAGUUUCUGCUACAACUAUUUCUCGACACCUGGCUGCAAUAGGAAAGGUAAAACAAUUGGACAAGUGGGUAACGCCAGUUGAUGGAUGAUCAUAAACUGCUCGGUUGGAGAUAACGCCCGUCCCUUAAGAUUUAAAAGAGCGGAGACCUUAUGAGAGCAUCGUAAGCUGUGACAAAAAAAUGAAAUGGAAGGUGACCUGGACAAUGGUUGGAUGCUGAUGAAGUUCCCAAACGUGUUAAACUAUGAUUCGACCAAAAGAGGGCCUGGUGAUAACUGUCUCUCGGUGGUGGCGUGCAGAAACAGUGUUUCAUCGCUGCUUUUCACCCGAACUGCCUCUGCUGGUGGUCAGCUAACAGGAGUGUUGAGGAGGAGUUGAAAUCAUGUAUCCAGAUCACUCUGAAGUCACUGCACCGGGUGGGACGAGGCGGUCGAGGUCGGCAGGUGUGGCCCUGCGCUUCCCCGUGACAGUGUUCGAGCACAGACGUCGCAGCCCACCACGGGGAGGUUGGCCGGGCUGGGCAGAGAGUCUGCACGUGCCUCGUUCUCACCUGGCCUCUUCAAUGGAUGAUCACCCUUUUCGUAAUUUGUGACUAAGAAACAACAUUCUCCAGUUGAGCAGCAGUAAUUGAAGGAUUUAAAUAUAUUUUAACAGUACUGAAUUUUAUAAAUAUGGUAUAUUAGUAAUAUUUGGGCAAAUUUAUCAUUUGGGGGAAGCAGUUAAUACUAAUAGUGCAUAUUUUAGCUGAGUAAAGCUGCUUUUCUCAAGAAUGUAACAUUUACAUUUUGACCUACAAAAAGGCAAUUCCAUAUGGCUUAACCUGGUAAUUCCCCAGACCCUGGCAGAACAUGGAGCUAAAAACUGCAGGCUGCACUGGAGGGAUGGGGCUUCUCCACUGGAGCGCUGUGGAGCAGCCCGACAACACACGUGACGCAUGCGUGUACGUGUGUGUAAAAGACUGCCUAGGAGUCGGCCAUGCAGAGACCCGGUGAAGGGUGGUCUGGGAGGGGAGCGGCCUCCCCAAAGACUCUCGGGCUCUCGGGACACACUCUUGAAUACGUUUGGAAACCACUCCUUUUCCCAGAGAGAAAGAGAAGCUGUAAAAGCCUCCUUGACAGAAACCUUGGUUUGAGCAUCGAAGUGAAGAGUGGGGAUGGAGGCUGCUACAUCUCACCCCCCAAAACCCCACCCCCGUCUCCCUGGGGUGGCCUGGGUCCUGGGUAUAGAGGGGACUGGAGCGCGGGCGCAUGUGCAAUACACAGAUCAUGUAUCGUAGAAAUCUGCGCUGGAAACUUGUGUAACCUUGUGAGCCAAUAUUGCCCCAGUAAACUUAAUUAGACAUUUUUGAAA